AGAGUUUGAUCAUGGCUCAGAACGAACGCUGGCGGCAGGCCUAACACAUGCAAGUCGAGCGCGCCUUUCGGGGCGAGCGGCGGACGGGUGAGUAACGCGUGGGAACGUACCCCUUUCUACGGAAUAGCCUCGGGAAACUGGGAGUAAUACCGUAUAAGCUCUUUCAUUGUAGUGAUGGGGGAGGAAAGAUUUAUCGGGAAGGGAUCGGCCCGCGUUGGAUUAGGUAGUUGGUGGGGUAACGGCCUACCAAGCCGACGAUCCAUAGCUGGUUUGAGAGGAUGAUCAGCCACACUGGGACUGAGACACGGCCCAGACUCCUACGGGAGGCAGCAGUGGGGAAUCUUAGACAAUGGGCGCAAGCCUGAUCUAGCCAUGCCGCGUGAGCGAUGAAGGCCUUAGGGUUGUAAAGCUCUUUCGGGGGGGAAGAUAAUGACUGUACCCCCAGAAGAAGCCCCGGCUAACUCCGUGCCAGCAGCCGCGGUAAUACGGAGGGAGCUAGCGUUGUUCGGAAUUACUGGGCGUAAAGCGUACGUAGGCGGUUAUUCAAGUCAGGGGUGAAAGCCUGGAGCUCAACUCCAGAACUGCCCUUGAAACUAGAUAACUAGAAUCUUGGAGAGGUGAGUGGAAUUCCGAGUGUAGAGGUGAAAUUCGUAGAUAUUCGGAAGAACACCGGUGGCGUAGGCGACUAGCUGGGCUGUAACUGACGCUGAGGAACGAAAGCCAGGGGAGCAAAUGGGAUUAGAUACCCCGGUAGUCC
rnacentral:rRNA from 1 species